rnacentral:rRNA from 1 species
GAUUAACGCUAGCGGAAGGCAUAAUACAUGCAAGUCGAGCGGUAAGGUUUUCGGACCCUAGAGCGGCGAACGGGUGAGUAACGCGUACGAAACCUACCUUUAAGAGAGGAAUAGCCCUGGGAAACUGGGAGUAAUGCCUCAUAGUAUUCAUUUACCGCAUGGUUUAUGGAUUAAAGCUACGGCGCUAUACGAGCGGCCGAUGUCAGAUUAGCUAGUUGGUAGGGUAAAGGCCUACCAAGCCGACGAUCUGUAGCUGGUCUGAGAGGACGACCAGCCACACUGGGACUGAGACACGGCCCAGACUCCUACGGGAGGCAGCAGUGGGGAAUUUUGGACAAUGGGCGCAAGCCUGAUCCAGCAAUGCCGCGUGCAGGAAGACGGCCCUCUGGGUUGUAAACUGCUUUUAUAUGGGAAGAAACCUUCGGAUGCGUUCGAAGCUGACGGUACCAUAUGAAUAAGGAUCGGCUAACUUCGUG